rnacentral:rRNA from 1 species
UACGUAGGGGGCUAGCGUUGUCCGGAAUCAUUGGGCGUAAAGAGCGUGUAGGCGGUCCGGUAAGUCCGCUGUGAAAGUCGGGGGCUCAACCCUCGAAUGCCGGUGGAUACUGUCGGGCUAGAGUGCGGAAGAGGCGAGUGGAAUUCCUGGUGUAGCGGUGAAAUGCGCAGAUAUCAGGAGGAACACCUGCGGCGAAGGCGGGUUGCUGGGCCGACACUGACGCUGAGGCGCGAAGGUCAGGGGAGCAAACGGG